rnacentral:rRNA from 1 species
AUUCCAGCUCCAAUAGUGUAUAUUAAAGUUGUUGCAGUUAAAAAGCUCGUAGUUGGAUUUCUGGCGGGAGCGAUCGGUCCUUCACUCAGUGUUGGAACCUGAUUGUCUCCUGCCAUCCAUGGAGAAAACUUAUCUGGCAUUAAGUUGUCGGGUAGGCAAUCUCCAUCUUUUACUGUGAAAAAAUUAGAGUGUUCAAAGCAGGCUUAUGCCGUUGAAUAUAUUAGCAUGGAAUAAUAAGAUAGGACUCUGGUGCUAUUUUGUUGGUUUCGAACACCGGAGUAAUGAUUAACAGGGACAGUCAGGGGCACUCGUAUUCCGCCGAGAGAGGUGAAAUUCUCAGACCAGCGGAAGACGAACCACUGCGAAAGCAUUUGCCAGGGAUGGUUUCAUUG